rfam:Lingula anatina scaffold1640, whole genome shotgun sequence.
UGAUGACGUUCCCUAUGCAUUUCGAAGAAUAAAUGUAUGGUUUUAGUUCAUCAGAGAGAAAAGUGAAUUCUUCACCCACCCUCGACUUUCACAGUUGGUACUGUGCCGUGCGGGGAUGGAUUUGCGGGUUCAGACACUU